rnacentral:rRNA from 1 species
UACGUAGGGAGCAAGCGUUGUCCGGAAUCACUGGGCGUAAAGCGCACGUAGGCGGACUCUUAAGUCGGUGGUGAAAUCCUGGAGCUCAACUCCAGAACUGCCUUCGAUACUGGGAGUCUCGAGUUCGGGAGAGGUGAGUGGAACUGCGAGUGUAGAGGUGAAAUUCGUGGAUAUUAGGAAGAACACCAGUGGCGAAGGCGGCUCACUGGCCCGGUACUGACGCUGAGGCGCGAAAGCGUGGGGAGCAAACAGG